CUUUCUGUAUGAUAUCCAUCCCAUGGAUUUUUAGGGUGUGAUGUCUGAGUAGUGCCAGCAGGUGGCGCUGCAGGAUAAGCCGGAGGCUCAUCCCAGUUAACUUCCGCCUUCAUCAUGGGACAGGGCUUAUUGUGUGACGAAGAGGAAGUAGCUCCCGGUGGUGAGUUUUUGAUCGGUGCCAUCAUGGGUGGAGGAUUUUUACUCGGAGCCAUCUUUGGCUCUUGUUUUAAAGAAGCGAGUGAGGGGUAUAUAUUGCGUGAUUUCGGCAGGCGAGUCAAGGGUUUUAUAUCCUCUGGCUCCGGGGUUUCUUUGGCAUUUGGUUCGGAUGGGAGGGGCACCGACAGGGAGAGGUCUUUCUCGAGCUGUUCCACGAGGGAAGACUCCGCAUCGGCGGCUGCCGCAGCACACGCAGCAGAGUCCGCCAGGAGAGAGAUGGCUUCCAAAUCCUCCCCAGUAAUGCUUUCCGAGCCUGUUAAGCAAGCCCUGAUAGUAUCCACCACUUUGAGGUCUGCUCUUGAUAUGUGUCACACCGGAAGGACUGGAAUGACAGCCAACAUGGCAGACUCGAAGAGUUCAAUUGGCCGUGAUCGAGAGGACUGACAGAAAACAAAGUAUUCUGAAGUGGGGGAGGAGAUUACACCAUGAAAUGGAAACAUUAACAGUAAGGGUGAUCUAUGUAGAUGAAUCUAAACACCUGGAUAAUUGAAAAGGGGAAGCCCAGCUGCCACAGCCUGUCUGAACAGCUCUACAGCCACCUCCCUGGGGAGCAGCCAUCAUGAUAGUGUCACAAAUAGCCAAGGACCCGAUCUAGUGGCGCAAUGCCUGGACUCCGGGGACAGACUCUGUAUAUGUUGGCCCUUACCAGUCAUGGUUCUCCUCCUAACAUGGGGAAAGCUGCAUUCCUGUGGUGUGCUCUCCAGACUCACCAAGGAUAAAGAGGCCAUCCCCCACCCAACCCAGACUCUGGCCAGAGAAAGGGGAAACCAGUGAAUGACACCUUUGCCCACUCUGCUCAGAGUUAGCCCAGCUCAUGUGCCCGCCCACCCCUGGAAUCCACCCUGCGUUCCCUGCCAGCGGGGUCUGAGUGUGGCUGCUGGAAUCAGACUGCAAAUGAGAAAAAGGGAGUAUCUGGACACAUGCUGUGUGCUAUAGCGGUCACAAAGGAAUUGUGUAUGUUCUAUUUUCUUUCGGGAGUUCAGGAUUCAGGUACCCAAUAAAUUUGGCUCUUUG
rnacentral:lncRNA from 1 species